GUCGGCGCGCGGGCCCGGCGCGGCCCGCGCUGCCUUGCGCGCGGCUGGCGCGUCGCUCCACGGCGCCGGGGCUGCCGGUCGCGGCGGCUGCGCGGCCGCCA
rnacentral:tRNA from 1 species